CACCAGAAUCCAACUGUGUAACACCCUGUAAACUUGCAGGUGUCUCAGCAGCUGGAUGUCUGACCGGAUCCUUCCUGCACAUGGUGUAACUGCACCAUUGGGUGGUCAACUCAGAACAUUCAACGACUUGAGAACUGGAUAGAAAAUGAGAGCCAGAGCAGCCACUCCAGAAGCUUCCAAAAUCACUCUGCACCUUCUUGAACUACUGCAGUUGGUGUGGUGAAGUUGCUCCGAGAUUAAUGUUUGGGCGAUCAGAACUGGACACAGUAUUCCAGAAAAGGCCUGCACAACCUCAACAUGAUGUCCCACUCCUAUAUUCAGAGGUCUGAGCAGUGAGG